rnacentral:rRNA from 1 species
ACGGAGGAUCCGAGCGUUAUCCGGAUUUAUUGGGUUUAAAGGGUGCGUAGGCGGAAUAGCAAGUCAGUGGUGUACGUUUGCAGCUCAACUGUAAAAUUGCCAUUGAAACUGCUGUUCUUGAGUACAGUAGAGGUAGGCGGAAUGUGUAGUGGAGCGGUGAAAAGCAUAGAGAUUACACAGAACACCGAGUGCGUAGGCAGCUUACGGGAGUGUAACUGACGCUGAGGCGCGUAAGCGUGGGGAUCAAACAG